GUUGCUUCGGCUAACACUCAUCACCCUGUGACAUACCUAAAACGUUGCUUCGGCGGGAACAGACGGCCCUGUAACAACGGGCCGCCCCCGCCAGAGGACCCCUAACUCUGUUUUUAUAAUGUUUUUCUGAGUAAACAAGCAAAUAAAUUAAAACUUUCAACAACGGAUCUCUUGGCUCUGGCAUCGAUGAAGAACGCAGCGAAAUGCGAUAAGUAAUGUGAAUUGCAGAAUUCAGUGAAUCAUCGAAUCUUUGAACGCACAUUGCGCCCGCCAGUAUUCUGGCGGGCAUGCCUGUUCGAGCGUCAUUACAACCCUCAGGCCCCCGGGCCUGGCGUUGGGGAUCGGCGGAAGCCCCCUGUGGGCACACGCCGUCCCUCAAAUACAGUGGCGGUCCCGCCGCAGCUUCCAUUGCGUAGUAGCUAACACCUCGCAACUGGAGAGCGGCGCGGCCAUGCCGUAAAACACCCAACUUCUGAAUGUUGACCUCGAAUCAGGUAGGAAUACCCGCUGAACUUAAGCAUAUCAAUAAGGCGGAGGAA
rnacentral:rRNA from 1 species